ACUUCGGAAGGGAUGUAUUUAUUAGAUUAAAAACCCAAUGCCCUUCGGGGCUCUUGGUGAUUCAUGAUAACUUCUCGAAUCGCAUGGCCUUGCGCCGGGCGAUGGUUCAUUCAAAUUUCUUCCCUAUCAACUUUCGAUGUUUGGGUAUUGGCCAAACAUGGUUGCAACGGGUAACGGAGGGUUAGGGCUCGACCCCGGAGAAGGAGCCUGAGAAACGGCUACUACAUCCAAGGAAGGCAGCAGGCGCGCAAAUUACCCAAUCCCGACACGGGGAGGUAGUGACAAUAAAUACUGAUACAGGGCUCUUUUGGGUCUUGUAAUUGGAAUGAGUACAAUUUAAAUCCCUUAACGAGGAACAAUUGGAGGGCAAGUCUGGUGCCAGCAGCCGCGGUAAUUCCAGCUCCAAUAGCGUAUAUUAAAGUUGUUGUGGUUAAAAAGCUCGUAGUUGAACCUUGGGCCUGGCUGGCCGGUCCGCCUCACCGCGUGUACUGGUCCGGCCGGGCCUUUCCCUCUGUGGAACCCCAUGCCCUUCACUGGGUGUGGCGGGGAAACAGGACUUUUACUUUGAAAAAAUUAGAGUGCUCCAGGCAGGCCUAUGCUCGAAUACAUUAGCAUGGAAUAAUAGAAUAGGACGUGUGGUUCUAUUUUGUUGGUUUCUAGGACCGCCGUAAUGAUUAAUAGGGACAGUCGGGGGCAUCAGUAUUCCGUUGUCAGAGGUGAAAUUCUUGGAUUUACGGAAGACUAACUACUGCGAAAGCAUUUGCCAAGGAUGUUUUCAUUAAUCAGGAACGAAAGUUAGGGGAUCGAAGACGAUCAGAUACCGUCGUAGUCUUAACCAUAAACUAUGCCGACUAGGGAUCGGACGAUGUUAUUUUUUGACUCGUUCGGCACCCUACGAGAAAUCAAAGUGCUUGGGCUCC
rnacentral:rRNA from 1 species